rnacentral:sRNA from 1 species
AUCAUUGCAGCCAGCGCAGUCCUCCAUGGGAGGCCUCAGAGCAUGAUUACAGAGUGACUGCACGAUCGCGUGGCCCCGGUCCGUCUCCCCCACGAGUUGGUGUGCCCGAGACAGCAGGUUGUUCAUCGAGACCUGAAGCCGAGUAACAUCCUCUACAGGGAUGAGUCGGGGAGCCCAGAAUCCAUCCGAGUCUGCGACUUCGGCUUUGCCAAGCAGCUGCGCGCGGGGAACGGGCUGCUCAUGACGCCCUGCUACACAGCCAAUUUCGUGGCCCCGGAGGUCCUGAAGCGUCAAGGCUAUGAUGCGGCGUGUGACAUCUGGAGUUUGGGAAUCCUGUUGUACACCAUGCUGGCAGGAUUUACCCCUUUUGCAAAUGGGCCAGACGACACCCCUGAGGAGAUUUUGGUGCGGAUCGGCAGUGGGAAGUAUGCCCUUUCUGGGGGAAACUGGGACUCGAUAUCUGACGCAGCCAAAGACGUCGUGUCCAAGAUGCUCCACGUGGACCCUCAUCAGCGCCUGACGGCGAUGCAGGUGCUCAAACACCCGUGGGUGGUCAACAGAGAGUACCUGUCCCCAAACCAGCUCAGCCGACAGGACGUGCACCUGGUGAAGGGCGCGAUGGCCGCCACCUACUUUGCUCUAAACAGAACACCUCAGGCCCCGCGGCUGGAGCCCGUGCUGUCGUCCAACCUGGCUCAGCGCAGAGGCAUGAAGAGACUCACGUCCACGCGGUUGUAGCGGGUGGGACCCUGGCCCCAGCGUCCCCUGCCAGCAUCCUCUUGGGCUCACAGACCCCGGCCUCGGAGCCCGUCUGGCGCCCAGAGUGACCACAAGUUCCCCAGGGAGGCGGCGGCGCCCGCCCUCGCCGUGUCCAUGUUUUCUUUUUCAGCCCCGGAGAGGGUCCUGACCUGGGGGCUUCUCCAAGCCUCACUGCGCCAGCCUCCCCGCCCGCUCUCUUUUCUCCCAAGCAAAACCAAAUGCGCCCCUUCACCUCGCGUGCCCGUGCGAGGCCAGGGGUUUCUUUCAGAGCCCGCGGGUCUUCUCAUAUCACGGCUUCUGUUUCUGCCGAGAGAUCUGUUUUCCAAUUAUGAAGGCGGUCGGUUUGGUCAGACUCCCGACGCCGACGUCCCGGGUACCCGGUGGGAAAGUGGCAGUGCGAGGGCGCAGCCGUUGGUGGUUGCAGGGCCCCAGAGGGCUGGGGUGACCUG